AUGCUGGGAACAGGAUGUGUGUUUUUGUUGGCAUCUAUCAUUUUUGUCUCCACCCAUGACAGAACCUCUGUUGAAAUUACUGCAAUUGUUUUUGGCUUUAUAGCAAGUUUUAUGUUCCUCUUUGACUUUGGUGCUAUGCUCUAUGAAAAGAGACAGGAGUCCCAGCUGAGAAAGCCCGAGGCCCCUCCAGCGGAAGCCCUCACCGAACCACUAAAUGCAUAGACUCUGGGAGCAAGUGUCACAGAAGAGAGCGACUGUUCUUCAUGAUGCCUGAGCUCUGUCAGGAGGUCUUGUAGAAUGUGUGCAAUUGUGUAAACCACUUCUUUUGGAGAGCUGGGGGAAGGGCAGGAAGCAUUUUAUCAAUGUUGAGCUGUGUGUCAGUCACUACAAAUUAAGCCAGAGGGUAUUUUUUUAAAAUUGUUUUUAAAAAUAACUAUUGAAACUUGUCUCAAAUGCAGGUUUUUAAGGUGGAGAGGAAGACAGUUCUUUCUUUAAAUCACAUAGCUCAAAUGAUUAUAAAUCUAUUACUGGGCAUUCUCUUUCUAGGCAUAGCUUCUAAAUUAUGCUUUAUAGCUGUA
rnacentral:lncRNA from 1 species